rnacentral:lncRNA from 1 species
AGCCCUGAAGAGUAGAGGCCCUGCCGACUGCUUGUCUUCUCUCGUGUCCCUCUCACUAGCUCAGGAAUGACUUGACUCAGCAGGUCUGAGUUACCUCAUCGAUUGGACAGACUGAGACCAGAGCUGAGCUACUACUCCCUGACAAUGUCACUUCUGUAACCAAAAGCUCAUUGUUGUAUGGUUAACUAGGUCCUUGCUACUCAGGGUAUGGACCAGCAGCAUUACCAUCCCUGAUGCAGAAUCUUGGGCCUCACUCCAGAAGCCCUGAAUCAGAAUCUGCAUCUUUAACAAGACUCCAGGUGUCAUCCAGACUCAGCAAACUCCAGGAGGAACUGAUGCUCCUUUACCUUCAACUGUGGAGCCCGGACAAGAACAGCCUCCCUCUCUGUGGAAUCCUUGUGGAGCUCCCAGUCCAGCUCAGCCCAGCCCAGGUCUCGUGUGUAAAGCAUUACAGAGCCAAUACCCCUUUAAUCCUGAGAGGGCCUUGUCUGCCGGAGAUGGUGGUGGUGAGGCACGAGGCUGUGUCAGUGAGGAGGUGGCCUGUUUUUCCCUCCUGG